rnacentral:rRNA from 1 species
UACGUAGGGUGCAAGCGUUAAUCGGAAUUAUUGGGCGUAAAGAGCUCGUAGGCGGCUUGUCGCGUCGGCUGUGAAAACCUGGGGCUCAACCCCGGGCCUGCAGCCGAUACGGGCAAGCUAGAAUUCGGUAGGGGAGACUGGAAUUCCUGGUGUAGCGGUGAAAUGCGCAGAUAUCAGGAAGAACACCAGUGGCGAAGGCGGCUCACUGGACUGGUAUUGACGCUGAUGUGCGAAAGCGUGGGGAGCAAACAGG